GCAAAGUAACAUCCGCGAUUCCUGCGCUAACAGAUAGAUGGUCGGCUCAGAGAGAGCAGAGUAACGCUAGCACCGAGAUGGACACGAGGUACACCUUGCAGUACCGCGCUUAUAAGGCCAUAUUUCAUGCGGCAAAUAAGAUAGUCCAGGGCAGUCACCACAAUGAAAGUGAAUGAUCAACCCAACAAAACCAGCACUUAAGAAAUGUGGGAAAACCGGGCAGUUGAGUCAGUGCUCUUUUUUUUUCUUCUCGCUGUCCCACUGGGCUCAGCCCCGUCCCAGUGCGGCCCUCUGACGUUGACACUGGGACACCAGAACUGGCUCCCACCGACCACUUGCAGUAACCUUAGGCUCUUGGGCGGGCUGAAGCACAGGGGCGGGUCCUCGAGUGGGCAUGCGCCGCGGCGGCCCGGAGCGGCACACUCUAGUAUGAUUGGGCAGCUGAGACUCACGUUAGCCAAUCAGGAAGCACGCGGCUCUGGGAGCCUCUCCCUAAAAUUUGCUCCGCCCUCCACGGUCUUACAGCGGCGCCCUAGAAAGAGACUCGGGUGUCCACCCUGGCUUCGGCUGCCAAGUCCCAGGUUGAGACUGUUAAGAACUUGAAAUCCUACCACCGCGAUGGUUUUAUUCGAAGCCAUCAUCUUAAACAGAUUUAAAACGGACUGCGGAACUGCGCAGAGCCACUCCUAGGACUAGGGUGGAUAUAAUUGACUGUUACAGAAGGAAAGGAGAUAAUUGUCCAGGGUGGAGCUAAAAUUACUUAAUACAGAUUUUUGUGAUUUUAGGUGGGUUGUGCCGUUCGGUCUUCCCAAAAGUCAUAGUUCUAAAAUCGCGAUGUUUUCCAUACUUCUAAUGCUAUUGUAAUACGUCCCAAACACCUUUAGAAACAGGAGUAACCCCAUCGUAUUCCCUGCAAUUUGCAGUUGCAUACAAUAUAUGUAAAAGGCUAUAUAUAUGCUACAGGUAUAUUUCAGUUUAUGGGUACCAUUCAUAAUAUCCAGAAGUCAGGAAAUGAUUUACCAUUCUAAAGUAAAUAGAUAACUCAAUUAAAUUGCUAAUAAUUUUUAUUGGAUGUGGAAUAGAAUCUUCUCUUACCAAUUAUUUACAUUCCAAGAUUAACAUGUUAACUAUGAAAAUGAUAGAUUGUUGUAAGCAUCAGAAAUCUCUGAUUAAAUGUGAAGUCCACAUAUUUAUUCACAUGUGCAAUAUGUGUAUACAAUAAGAAAUUUCCAUUGUGGGGAUACUUAAAAUGCCCCACAAAACACUAAAUUCCCUUGCUUAAUUUAAGAUAUCCUUUAAAGAAUGUGUUGAGGGUUUCCACUGGAGAAAUUUGGGACAAUAUGAGCAUCAAGAAGAAUAAUUACAAUAAUUAAUUGAAUAAAAAAAUUGGAUAAAGAAAGUGCAUGAGUAUAGAGUGCCAGUAAAAUCAGAGGAAGAAUGAAAAUUUUUCUUUCACAAGAAUACUAGAGAUUAAGUGUAGAACAACUAAUAGAAAAAUCACUAUUUUCCAAAUCAAUCACAAACAACUCAGGCAAAGUUCAUCAGAGAAUGCUGAAAGCCACUAAGUGAAAAAUUGUAGGAAUAGGGGAUCUCUACUUGUUCUCAAGGUAUCAAACCAUAACUUAUAAAAUAAAAGAUGUACUAUUACUUUAAAAAAGUCACUGCUUCUACAAGUGACCAAAGUUAGAAUUGCUAAUAAUGAGACCAUCUGAUAUUAUGUGCUUUCCAAUGUUACGCAAUUAGAAAUACAUGUCAUCUAAGAAUUAUUCUUGCCAAAAUUGUUUAACUUGAUUUUAAUCAGGAUUCUAGCCUGUGGUUCCCAACCAGGGGGUAGAUCCCCACCUUGGUCCUCUAUGUUCCUCUACCCUCCUGGGCAUGACAAUGUCUGGAGACAUUUUUGUUUGUCCUAAUGGAGAGGGGGCAGGUAGGGAGGUGGGGGUGGAGAGGGUUGUUACUGCAUCUAAUGGGUAGAGGCUGGGGAUGCUGCUAAACAUCAGAAAAUGCACAGGACAACCUCUCCAUAACAAAGAAUUAUUUGG